AUGCAGCUGAUGAAUCCCAAAUGGGACGAGACGCGCGUCUUGGAU
rfam:Schistosoma margrebowiei strain Zambia genome assembly, scaffold: SMRZ_scaffold0000073